rnacentral:lncRNA from 1 species
GCAGCCCGCGCGUCCCGGUGGCAGCAGGUGGGUGGGUCUUGAUACAGCGGAGACGGUUUCGAGAACUCGUGUCCCCCAGACGAGUCCCCGGGGUGCGCCCCGCGGUCGGACAGCCAGGAGAGGGGGGUGACUCCCGGGCCACCUCGCCGGAGCCCUCGCAGGCUUGGCCAGGUGGCCACGCUCUCCUGGAGGGCAGUCGUUGCCGACCAGAGGCGACAGCGCACUAGAGGGAGAGAGUGCAGUUUGCGCAGUGGACGUGAACGGAGCUGAGCUCCCGGCCCGGGCACCUGUGGAGGUGGGAAGACGCUGGGGACAGCCCCAAGCCCGAGCCCGGGGAGCGCCCAGCGGGGGACGGGGCCGGGGCGUGCAUCUGGAGCAUCUGCAGCCGGCUCUUGAGCAAUCGAGCGCUUAGAUUUCUCACGGAGAUGUGCCCGAGCUGGCAGCCACACCAGGUGUAGAGUCACCUUCCUGCGCCUGGAGCGGUGGCCCUGGAUCUGGUUUUGUUUCGACUUGAUUUUUUUUUUUCCUGUUCCGACUUAUCCUUAGCAGGAGCCAAGAACACAAAGGAUUCUCUUAACCCUACCGUUGUGUUUCUCGGGGAAUACCCUCCAGGACCGGGGACUGGCAAGGCGGUGAGCCCCAAGUCCCUGCGGGUGGAUUUGUUCCACGCCCCACAGCGGAAGGUGCUGUACAGACGACGUGCCGGUUCCUCGUGGGUCUAACCCAUUCAGGUCCUUCCCACAGGGAGGCCCUUAUCUGAAGGGCUGGACCGCCUAAGUGCGGCCCGCAGGGUGAAGCCUGGCAGAGGUGGCACCUGAAUCAGGAGAGGACACUCCUGUGUGCCCUUGUCUCCGGAUGAAGGCUGCAGUUUGUUGGAGUGAGCUUCUUUCGCAGCUGGAGGCUUUGGACUUACAACAUGCCCUAGAGCAGAUCUUUUUCCCCAGCUAUUCCCAGCCAGGAAGUCAGAUCCACACCUUGGGACAGACUCCCAGGAAGAUGGGGCAGGCCAAGGAUCCGCUGCGUCCUACUCAGGUGACCCUGACAGACACGGGGUUUUCGAGUUGCUGAAGUAGAGAGCAGCACAGAGGUCAUUCUUUCUUUUUCUUUUUCUUUUUCUUUCUUUCUAUCUUUCUUUUUUUUAGUACCAGUUAUUAAACCCAGGGUUAUAGAACCCUAGUGCUUAACCACUGAACCACAUCCCCAGACCUUUUCAUUUCUUAUUUUGAGACAGAGUUGCUUAGGUUCUUAGGACUUCAGUAAAUUGCUGAGGCUGGCCUCAAACUUGCAAUCCUCCUGCCUCAGCCUCCCCAGUCACUGUGAUUGCAGGUGAGAUUAUUCUUUAGAAACAGAGUUAAAGCUAGUGUAAGUUCCGGUCUUGAUGUCACAGUAACUUGAGACUUCCGUCCCCUUCUGCUGCUUUUCAGGUGAUGGCACCUCAAGGGCACUGGGACUUUCUGCCAAGUCCUGACCAUGUUUGAGCCUGUGGUGUUCCUGCUGAUCUGCCCACUCCCCUGUGGGUAGAGGAUGCCAGAUAUCCUCAUUUCUUCAAAUAAAAGAUGAAAUAAAACAAAAGUUUUUGAGAACUAUUUCACAUAUUCUUUUUUUAUUCUGAUAUUGAACCUUAUUAACCCCGAUUUCUUAAAAAAUAAUUUUUUCUGUCUUUUGUUAGGAAAUUCAAUGAACUUUCUAAGUCUAGCAAAAUAUUUGCUUCUAGGCUAAGAACUUGAAUAGACACUUCUCCAAAGAUUAUAUACAAAUGGCCAGCAAGUGUAUGGAAAGGUGGUCAGCACGCGAGUUAUCAAGGAAAUGCAAGUCAAAACUGUAAUAAGGCACGGCCUCACACCCACUUGGAUGUCUACUGUCAAUCGGAAAACAAGGAACACUGACCGGAGUGGAGAAACUGGCACACUGUGCUGUUGGUGGGAACGUGAAAUGGCGCAGCUGCUCUGGAAAACAGCUUGGUGAUUGCUCAGAAAAUUACAAAUUGAAUUGCCAUAUGAUCCCGCAAGUCCACGUCUGAGUAUAUCCAGGAGACAAGAAAGCAGGCUCUCAAAGAAAUAUCUGCAGAGUCAAGUUCACAUUAGCACUAUUUACAGUGGCUGAGUAGGUGCAUCCAGGUGUUCAUUGGUGGGUAAUGGAUAAACAAAACUUGAUGUGCACAUACAAUAGAAUACUACUCAGCCCUUAAGAAGGAAGGAAACUCUGAUAACGGUACAACCUUGAGGACAUUAUGCUAAGUGACAUAAGUCAAUCACAAACAGGCAGAUACUUUGUAUAGGUUUCUAAGCAGACAAAUUCACAGAAAAGGAAAGUAGAAGAAUGGUUGCCUUGCUGGGAGGAAAGGAGGAUGGGGAGUUUUGUCUACUGGGUAUAGAUUUUAGGUUUUAUGAGAUGAAAAAUUCCAGAGAUUAACUGUACAACAACGUGAGUAAACUUGACACUACUAAACUGUACACUUAGAAACUGAGAUGGUGCAUUUUAUAUUAUAUGCUUUUAUCUAUAUAAAAAUAAUUUUCCAGAAAUCUUCAAAGGGUUGAUGUGUAGUUUUCAUAUUCCUUACACUAUAAAUUAUGAUGAGAACUUUUUGGCUUUAAAAUAUUUUGAUUAUUUGUCCAAGUAGAAAUGUUUUUAUUACAAGCUGAUUUGAGAUAAACAGACUUUUAUUUCUUAUAAUUUAUACUGCUUUAUGCUGCAUCUUUAAAAUUACAUUU